ensembl:lncRNA
ACAGGAUGUGAGGGGAUGGAGCGGUGCCGGGCUUUGUCCGCCGCUCGUGGCUAUGCUGUGUGCUCGGUUCCCGCUUGGUUCCGUGGCUCUUCGGGAUCAGUGGGGGACGAUGCCGGGUGCUGCAGGUGGGCAGGGCGUCUCCCAUCUGCGGCGUCAGAGCUGUGCGAGUGAAAGGUUAGAAAGAGCUUUGGUUCUCUUCUGCGAGUUCUCGGUGCCGUGUUUAAUUUCGGAGCGUAAUUAGGCCGCAUUUAGAUUCCUUGUGAGGUGCCCUGAGAUACCAUGUUGGAGAUGGCGGCUGUGCCCUGCUGCUCCGUUGUCUGCUUCCGUGCACAGCUUGUGACCAUCGUGUGCUGGGACACCUGUGCCAAAUUUUGAUGCCUCUUUACACAUCCUCCAAGUAGAGGAUGUAGGUGAUGGACAACCAACAGAUGGCACCAGGCCCUCCCAUACGCUCUAUGAAAAUGAUGAGAAUGACUUCCAAGGCUGUGAGUGGUGGCUGAUGAGAAGCUAAGAAGAGGAACCUCAAAGUUAAACUGAUUGGUAAACUAAUCCAAGCCUUUGGGUUUAUAUGCUUUUUUUUCUAACUAAUAUGUCUGACCCUUAGUUAUUUUGAUGGACCAGUGUUUUUAUGUUGCACUGCACAAGGUAGAGAAUCUCUAGGAUUUGGUACACUUAAAUUGAUGCUUCUUUCAAACAGACUGUUUUUGCUUUUCUGUAGGUGCAUUACGUUCUGGGCAGUGGCUUUUUAAUGAUUUGCUCUUGUCAAGUGACAUUAAUGCUUAGACAUAAUCAUAGUGAUGAAUAUAAAUGAUUUAUUAUGAGGGCUGCAUUUCUGAAUGAGUGUUCAACACAGCAUGAGUGUUCUUUUCAGCAAGACUACAGGCAGCACGCUUAAGAAUGAGAGAAACAAGCGUCUGCCUUGAAUUUUCAUACAGAAUUUUUCCCUGGAGGACUGAUAAAACGAAUCAGAGCAAUUUCCUUUGGCAAACUAAAACUAUGGAGUUCGGUAAUGAUUGUGAAAGAUUUAUUUGUGUAUAUAUGCGAUUACGUUAUGUUUCAACACAUACUGAUUUCUUGAAAUGGAUUUUACUUUUUGCUUUGUAGAUGUGGCAUGAAGGGGCAUUUCACAGGAAAUGGAUCAAGAUUUGUCUAAUAUUUUUUUUCUCAAAAGUGAAAGUUUCUUUGUUAUCACAUGUGAUUUGCUUGUCUGAUUUUUCUCUGGAACAGAGAGUCUAGAACUGUGAGUCUGGUCUGGUGGUUGGCAACCAUACCCAUGAUGGUCUUUGAAACUAGAUGAUCUUUGAGGUCCUUUUCAACCCAGGCCAUUCUAUGAUUCACUUACUGACUUCUUGUGGUAGUUGCAGGCAUGAAACACUAACAGGAUCAGACCCUUAGAUAUUUUUUUUUUAUCCGAAACUGUUAUUUGAACCUUGUAAGUCAGUGUAUGCUAAAUAUACUCAGCAUUUUAAUGAAAGCUGCAGUUGAAUCAUACAAAUUCAUCUUGUUAUUGGCUGGAAAAUACCUUAUUUUAUAAGUCAAAGAUCUAGGAUUCCUUAAAAUUCUCAAGUAAGUUCCAGUGGGUAUAAUGGCCCUAAAUUAUUCAUAUACAGCUCCAGGUUUUUAUUACGUUUUCUGAAUUACCUUUUUCAUAAAGUAGGAGCUCUGUAUUUUAACUGUGCAUAAGUCAAUACCUCAUUGAGAACACGAGUUGGAGAGAGACGUUAUUUCACAUUAGGUAAUGCUAAGCUAUCACUGUUUCCUUCCCUGCAUGUCUCUCUUUGGAAGCUUUCUUCUGUUUGAGUUAUGUCACGCUGAAUUGGAACCUUAAGUAUGAGUUCUAUAUUCAUUUCCUUGUUGUUGCUUUGAGGCUAAGAAGCAGUCGCAGUAAGAGAGUUAAGAAAGUAAGAGUUAAAGUAAAGUAAGAGUUAGGCUGAGUGUGAGGAAAACUGCUGGUUUUUUUUUUGUUGUUGUUCCCUGUGCACAACUUAGCAGAAAUUGGAUCUCUUCUGCUUCAGCUUAGUCAGUCAGUGGCUAUUAGAAAAGUUCUUCUAGUUUUUGUUCUGCUGUGGAGAACAGGUGGAAGCAAUUCACUUGCCUGACCAAGGGGUGCAGGCUGGUUCCACCCUUUCCUAACCUCAUUUAAGGGCUGGCUGCCUCCAGGGAAGGAGCUCUGCUUGGAGGUCUGCCCUUUUGUAGUGUUUUGUGUUCCUGUUCCUCAGAAAGGGGUAAGUAGUUCUGUGGUUAUUUACUAGGUUGAGUCCUCUGUGUUUCUUGGGUAAUUUAAAGCUGUGUCUGCUAAUGUCUAUGUCUGCAGUUGCUGCCCCAUGGAGGCCCCUCUUGGUUGACAAUGGCAGUUGGUAUCUGUGGGGUGAGAGGAGUCUGUGUAGAAGCGGUGGUACUUAGGAGGAAGACACCAUUUGUCUUUAUGCUUUAUAGGUACAAUCAGAUCAGAAAGCAUUGUGCUUUAUGGCACAGUUUCCUUGGCCAAAGGAUGCUUUUGCAGCAGAGGUUUGCUGUCAGGAGGCAUUAAAGCUCUGAAGAAAAGGUUGCUGUGCACUGGGCCUGGAGACAUCACCUCACAGCAUGUCACUGGUGGUGGAUAUCUGCAAGCUUUGUGUCUGUCAAUGACUGCUCCGAAGGCUUUAUAGUCAGCUGUCCGUGGUUGUUUUGCUUUUUAGGGUGGAGGAACAGACGACAACGCACCGAUUGGAGUGAUGGUGUCCUGCUCAGAAAUGGAUGUGCUGGAUGGCAGAAGAGGAUUCUUGGCCAAGUAUGGAAUCAUCUCUGUUCCUUCACGAAGGUAAGUUUUUAAAAGUUAAACACACAGAGGUGGAUUUGCAGGGUGCCUUGAAGGAGGCGACCCCCACUUGACAUCAUUUUUCUCCUCCUUACUCUUCUUCCCUGUUUCUGCUUUACCUCUUCCUGCUGAUGCAGCAACUCAUUUACUCUUAAGUUCUUCUCCCUUAGUGUUAUCCUUCCCUCUUCUGCUGGGUCACCUUCCCUCUGUCCUCACUCCUCUUCAGCUGGCUACUAAUUCUUCCUGUAACAGCUCCUAUUGUGCCAUUCUUUCUUCCCUGUAUCCUCACUCUUCCUUCAUCUGCACUCCUCUUCUGCUGUUCUUUCUUCUCUCUAUCCUCUUUCGUCUUUCUUCUGCAUUUCAUUUCCCCUUCUGCUGUUUUUCCCUGCUUCCUCACUCCUUUUUCAUCUGCAUCAGCUCUGCUCUUCUUUCUUCCCUCUCUUCUCACUUUUACAUCUGCACUCUUCUUAGGCUCUUCCUUCUUCCCUGCACUUCCCUCUCUGCCCUUUCCUCUUCUGCUGUUUUUCAACUCUAUCCUCAAUCCACUUCUGCAUCUCCACUCCUCUUCUGAUCUUUUCUUCCCUGCACUCUUCUGCUGUUUUUACUUUUCUGUAUAAUCACUCAUCCUUCUGCAUCUGCACUCUUCCUCUGCUGUUCUUUCUUCCCUCUCCUCACUCCUGCAUCAGCACUAUUCUGCUGUUCUUCCGUGUCCUCCCACCUCUUCUGCUGUUCUACCUUCAUUGCUCUUCCAUAUCCUCACUUUUCUUCUGUUCUUUCUUCCCUGUAUCCUCACUCCUCUUUCUUUUCCAUCUGCUCUCUGCCUCUGCUCUUUUCUUCCAUCUCCUCACUCCGCUUUCUUCUGCAUCUGAAUCCCAUUUCUACUCUUCCUUCUUCCCUGUAUCCUCACUGCUUUCAUCUGCACCUGUUCUCUUCUGCUGUUUUUUUUCCCUGUAUCCUCACUACUCUUUCUUCUACAUCUGCUCUCCUCUUCUCCUCUUUCUUCUCUCUCCUCUCUCCUAUUUUUUCUGCCUCUGGACCCCAUUUCUGCUCUUCCUUCUUCCCUAUAUCCUCUGCUGUUUCAUCUGCAUCCUCACUCUUCUCCUGUUAUUUCUUCCCUGUCUCCUCACUCCUUUCUUCUGCAUCUGCACUUCUCAUCUUCUUUCUUCCCUGUAUUCUCUCUGCUCAAUCACCUGCAGCUGUGCUCUUCUCCUGUUUGUUUCUCCUUGUAUCCUCACUCCCCUUUUUUCUGCCUCUGUACUCCCCUUCUGCUGUCCUUUCUUCCCUGUAUCCUCACUCCUUUCAGCAUCUAAACUCCUCUUCUGCUUUUCUUUAUUCUUUUUUUCACUGCUCUGUGUUCAGCAUCCACGCUCCACUCCUUCUGUUGUUUUCUUGUGUCCUCACUCCUCUUCUGCAUCUGCUCUCCUCUUCUGCUGCUUUUUUUCCUGCUUUCUCACUCCUCUGUUGUCUGCAUCAGUUCUACUCUUGUUCUGUUCCUUCUUCCCUGUCUUCACUCUUUAUUCUGCAUCAGCACUCCUGUUAGGCUCUUCCUUCUUCCCUGUAUUCUCCCUGCACUUUCCUCUGCAUUCACUCUUCUAUCAUUGUUUUUUUCCCUAUAUCCGUAUAUCUCUCCUCUUUCUUCUGCAUCUGAACCCCAUUUCUUCUGCUCCUUCUUCCCUGUGUCCUCCCUGAUCUUUCGUCUGCAUCCGCACUCCUCUUCAGCUGUUUUUUCCCCUGUUACUGCACUCCUCUUUUUCCUGCAUCUGCACUCCUUAUCUUUCUUCCCUGUAUUCUCUCUGCUCAUUCACCUGUAGCUGUGCUCCUCUUCUGCUGUUGUUUCCUCCUUGUAACCUCACUUGCCUUUUUUUCUGCAUCUGCACUGCACUUCAGCUGUUAUUUCUCGAUCCUCUUGUCACUUCUUUCUUCUCCAUCUGCACUCCUCUUCUGCUGUUUUUUUUUGCCUGCAUCCUCAUUCCUCUUUGUUAUGCAUCAACAUUCCUCUGCUGCUGUACUUUCUUCCGUCUCCACUCCUUUAUUCCCCAUCUGCACUGCUCUUCUGCUGUUUUAUAUUUUAUCUACGCUCAGUCCUCCUUUCUUCUACAUCUGCUCUCCUCUUCUCCUGUUCUUUCUUGUGUAUCUGCUCUUUUCUGCUGUUCGUUCUUCUUUUUAUCUUCAGUUUUUUUCUUCAUCUGCUCUCCUGUUCUUUUUUUCCCUCUCCUUGCUUGUCUUCCUUCCCCAUCUGCUCUACUCUUCUGCUCUUUCUUUCCACUCUCCUGUUUCUUAUGCAUUUGCACUCCUCUUCUGCUGCUUUUUUGUUUCCUCACUGCUCUUUAUUCUGCAGCGGUACUCUUCUGCUCUUUUUUUCUUCCCCGUAUGAUCACUCCUUUCCUUCCUGUUCUAAGAGAUUAUUCAUUUGCAUCAUUGUCUCAAAGCUUGCUGAGGGAUGCAGGUGAACAAGUCCAAGCAAGUCCUGGGCAAAGGUUGUGAAAUCUUUUGUCUGAGGGACACAGAUGGACAAGGCCAGGGGCAAGGAGAGAGAGAGGGAGAGAGAGAUAAGCCAGAGCUUAAUGGCCAGGAAGCAGUCUUUUGUGUGGGCUUAACUUGAGGGAGAUAGGCAUUUUGGGGGGUAGUACACAUGGCUCUUACCCAAGCACCCCGGAAUGCCACGUUGGCAGAAGAAGGAUUAAAAAAAAAAAAAAAACAAAGGGAUGAACAGCCAUGAGAUUAGGUUUCUGACAACAGAUUCCUCAUGCUGAAGAAGAGAGAGGUUUUCUGACAACAGAUUCUUGACGAAGAAUGAGAAGAAGGUUUCUGACAUGAGAAGCCUCACGACCUGCCUCUCCCUCCUGGACUUUCUCUGCACUCUACGUGACUGCUGCCUAAGGUCAGCCACUCUGCUG